rnacentral:rRNA from 1 species
GACGAACGCUGGCGGCGUGCUUAACACAUGCAAGUCGAACGGUAAGGCCUUUCGGGGUACACGAGUGGCGAACGGGUGAGUAACACGUGGGUGAUCUGCCCUGCACUUCGGGAUAAGCCCGGGAAACUGGGUCUAAUACCGGAUAGGACUGCGCGGUGCAUGCCGUGUGGUGGAAAGAUUUAUCGGUGCAGGAUGGGCCCGCGGCCUAUCAGCUUGUUGGUGGGGUAAUGGCCUACCAAGGCGACGACGGGUAGCCGGCCUGAGAGGGCGACCGGCCACACUGGGACUGAGACACGGGCCAGACUCCUACGGGAGGCAGCAGUGGGGAAUUUUGCACGAUGGGCGCAAGCCGGAUGCAGCGACGCCGCGUGGGGGAUGACGGCCUUCGGGUUGUAAACCUCUUUCAGCAGGGACGAAGCGUGAGUGACGGUACCUGCAGAAGAAGCACGGGCCAACUACGUG